GAUGAAGAACGUAGCGAAAUGCGAUACUUGGUGUGAAUUGCAGAAUCCCGUGAACCAUCGAGUCUUUGAACGCAAGUUGCGCCUCAAGCCAUUAGGUUGAGGGCACGUCUGCCUGGGCGUCACAUAUCGUUGCCUGAUGCCAGUUUCCUCGUGAUGGGUGACUGUGCAGGGCGAAUGAUGGCUUCCCGUGAGCAUUGUUGCCUCAUGGUUGGUUGAAAAUUGAGUCCUUGGUAGGGAGCGCCGUGAUAGAUGGUGGUUGAGUGACGAACGAGACCCAAUCAUGUGAGACCCCUACCGAAUUUGGCCUUCAUGACCCACAUGCGUCUUUGGAACGCUCAUGACGAGACCCCAGGUCAGGCGGGGCUACCCGCUGAGUUUAAGCAUAUCAAUAAGCGGAGGA
rnacentral:misc_RNA from 1 species